CAGGGUAUCAAAUCGUUAGGGAUGAGAACCGUAAAAGGUUCGAGCCGAGCGAAGCGAGACAGCAACGCGCAGCGUUGACCCGAAGGGCGA
rnacentral:sRNA from 1 species